UGGGGCGUAGCCAAGCGGUAAGGCACCGGGUUUUGAUCCCGGCAUUCGCAGGUUCGAAUCCUUCCGCCCCAGCCA
rnacentral:tRNA from 1 species